UACGAGAGGUCCAAACGUUAUUCGGAAUUACUGGGCUUACAGAGUUCGUAGGCGGCUCUACAAGUGAGGUGUGAAAGCCCUCGGCUCAACCGAGGAACUGCGCUUCAAACUGUAGAACUAGAGGGAGAUAGAGGUGAGCAGAACUGAUGGUGGAGCGGUGAAAUGCGUUGAUAUCAUCAGGAAUACCGGAGGCGAAAGGGAAGCACUGGGGCUUAACUGACACUGAGGCACGAAAGCCAGGGGAGCAAACGGG
rnacentral:rRNA from 1 species